AUGGAAAGUGCCUGGUACCUGGGAUUUUUGAUCCCAGGGAACCUCAUUUGCAGAGCAGUGGAUCACACAGAUCCUGAACUCAAUGAAUGGUCAUAUCUUUCCCUAAGUUUAUGUUCAUUCUGUCCUCUGAGAUUAUCUUUGAAGCCUCGUUAUGUAGAUGUCUGUAAAAAUCCUUCAAGCUAUGGACAGCCAAGUUCUGCCAUCUAAGGACCCUGCCCUUUCCCAAAAGUGUAUCUUGAGAAGGAAAAUAUGGCUGCUCUCUGCCAGACAGCAGAGUCCCAGGUGAGUUGGGGAUUUUCCUCUCUUCUCGGAAAUCUUAUUUUAAUUCCUGAAGCAAAUUUCUUUCUCUUAGUGUGAAGCUUGUCGAUUUCAUUAGCCAUAGCAGUUUGAAAGGAAAGGAUCAAGUGGUGGGAUGGACUGCCAACAAGAUGGUGUUUGGGGGUUCCACAGUUGUAUGGAAGUAGCAG
rnacentral:lncRNA from 1 species